AUGUUCAAAUAUUUAUAGGAUUAAGAUGGGCAUGCGUGUCAUUAGCUAGUUGGCGGGGUAACGGCCCACCAAGGCGACGAUGACUAGGGGAUCUGAGAGGAUGACCCCCCACACUGGUACUGAGACACGGACCAGACUCCUACGGGAGGCAGCAGUAAGGAAUAUUGGUCAAUGGAGGGAACUCUGAACCAGCCAUGCCGCGUGCAGGAAGACGGCCCUCUGGGUUGUAAACUGCUUUUAUUCGGGAAUAAACCUACUUACGUGUAAGUAGCUGAAUAUACCGAAGGAAUAAGGAUCGGCUAACUCCGUGCCAGCAGCCGCGGUAAUACGGAGGAUCCAAGCGUUAUCCGGAUUUAUUGGGUUUAAAGGGUGCGUAGGCGGCCUAUUAAGUCAGGGGUGAAAGACGGUAGCUCAACUAUCGCAGUGCCCUUGAUACUGAUGGGCUUGAAUGGACUAGAGGUAGGCGGAAUGUGACAAGUAGCGGUGAAAUGCAUAGAUAUGUCACAGAACACCGACUGCGAAGGCAGCUUACUAUGGUCAUAUUGACGCUGAGGCACGAAAGCGUGGGGAUCAAACAGGAUUAGAUACCCUGGUAGUCCACGCCCUAAACGAUGAAUACUUGCUGUUAGCGAUAUACAGUUAGCGGCUAAGCGAAAGCGUUAA
rnacentral:rRNA from 1 species